rnacentral:rRNA from 1 species
UACGUAGGGCGCAAGCGUUGUCCGGAAUUAUUGGGCGUAAAGCGCGUGUAGGCGGCAUGGCAAGUCGGGUGUGAAAGCCCUCAGCUUAACUGAGGAAGUGCGCCCGAAACUGCAGAGCUUGAGUGCCGGAGAGGAUGGCGGAAUUCCCCAAGUAGAGGUGAAAUUCGUAGAUAUGGGGAGGAACACCGGUGGCGAAGGCGGCCAUCUGGACGGUAACUGACGCUGAGACGCGAAAGCGUGGGGAGCAAACAGG